rnacentral:tRNA from 1 species
UGUAGUUGAAGUACAACGAUGGUUUUUCAUAUCAGAACG